AAUGGGGGAAACCCUGAUGCAGCCAUGCCGCGUGUGUGAAGAAGGCUUUCGGGUUGUAAAGCACUUUCAGUUGUGAGGAAAAGUUAGUCGUUAAUGCCGGCUAGCCUUGACGUUAGCAACAGAAGAAGCACCGGCUAACUCAGUGCCAGCAGCCGCGGUAAUACUGAGGGUGCAAGCGUUAAUCGGAAUUACUGGGCGUAAAGCGCGCGUAGGCGGCUUAUUAAGCCAGAUGUGAAAGCCCCGGGCUCAACCUGGGAACUGCAUUUGGAACUGAUUCGCUAGAGUACAGUAGAGGGUGGUGGAAUUUCCAGUGUAGCGGUGAAAUGCGUAGAGAUUGGAAGGAACAUCAGUGGCGAAGGCGGCCACCUGGACUGAUACUGACGCUGAGGUGCGAAAGCGUGGGGAGCAAACAGGAUU
rnacentral:rRNA from 1 species